GGGUUGUGAGGUUAAGCGACUAAGCGUACACGGUGGAUGCCCUGGCAGUCAGAGGCGAUGAAGGACGUGCUAAUCUGCGAAAAGCGUCGGUAAGGUGAUAUGAACCGUUAUAACCGGCGAUGUCCGAAUGGGGAAACCCAGUGUGAUUCGUCACACUAUCGUUAACUGAAUACAUAGGUUAACGAGGCGAACCGGGGGAACUGAAACAUCUAAGUACCCCGAGGAAAAGAAAUCAACCGAGAUUCCCCCAGUAGCGGCGAGCGAACGGGGAGCAGCCCAGAGUCUGAAUCAGCUUGUGUGUUAGUGGAACGGUCUGGAAAGUCCGACGGUACAGGGUGAUAGUCCCGUACACCAAAAUGCACAGGUUGUGAACUCGAAGAGUAGGGCGGGACACGUGGUAUCCUGUCUGAAUAUGGGGGGACCAUCCUCCAAGGCUAAAUACUCCUGACUGACCGAUAGUGAACCAGUACCGUGAGGGAAAGGCGAAAAGAACCCCGGCGAGGGGAGUGAAAAAGAACCUGAAACCGUGUACGUACAAGCAGUGGGAGCACCUUCGGGUGUGACUGCGUACCUUUUGUAUAAUGGGUCAGCGACUUAUAUUCUGUAGCAAGGUUAACCGUAUAGGGGAGCCGCAGGGAAACCGAGUCUUAACUGGGCGUUAAGUUGCAGGGUAUAGACCCGAAACCCGGUGAUCUAGCCAUGGGCAGGUUGAAGGUUGGGUAACACUAACUGGAGGACCGAACCGACUAAUGUUGAAAAAUUAGCGGAUGACUUGUGGCUGGGGGUGAAAGGCCAAUCAAACCGGGAGAUAGCUGGUUCUCCCCGAAAGCUAUUUAGGUAGCGCCUCGUGAACUCAUCUUCGGGGGUAGAGCACUGUUUCGGCUAGGGGGUCAUCCCGACUUACCAACCCGAUGCAAACUACGAAUACCGAAGAAUGUUAUCACGGGAGACACACGGCGGGUGCUAACGUCCGUCGUGAAGAGGGAAACAACCCAGACCGCCAGCUAAGGUCCCAAAGUCAUGGUUAAGUGGGAAACGAUGUGGGAAGGCACAGACAGCCAGGAUGUUGGCUUAGAAGCAGCCAUCAUUUAAAGAAAGCGUAAUAGCUCACUGGUCGAGUCGGCCUGCGCGGAAGAUGUAACGGGGCUAAACCAUGCACCGAAGCUGCGGCAGCGACACUAUGUGUUGUUGGGUAGGGGAGCGUUCUGUAAGCCUGCGAAGGUGUGCUGUGAGGCAUGCUGGAGGUAUCAGAAGUGCGAAUGCUGACAUAAGUAACGAUAAAGCGGGUGAAAAGCCCGCUCGCCGGAAGACCAAGGGUUCCUGUCCAACGUUAAUCGGGGCAGGGUGAGUCGACCCCUAAGGCGAGGCCGAAAGGCGUAGUCGAUGGGAAACAGGUUAAUAUUCCUGUACUUGGUGUUACUGCGAAGGGGGGACGGAGAAGGCUAUGUUAGCCGGGCGACGGUUGUCCCGGUUUAAGCAUGUAGGCUGGUUAUCCAGGCAAAUCCGGAUAAUCAAGGCUGAGGUGUGAUGACGAGGCACUACGGUGCUGAAGUAACAAAUGCCCUGCUUCCAGGAAAAGCCUCUAAGCAUCAGGUAACAUCAAAUCGUACCCCAAACCGACACAGGUGGUCAGGUAGAGAAUACCAAGGCGCUUGAGAGAACUCGGGUGAAGGAACUAGGCAAAAUGGUGCCGUAACUUCGGGAGAAGGCACGCUGGUGUGUAGGUGAAGUCCCUGCGGAUGGAGCUGAGACCAGUCGAAGAUACCAGCUGGCUGCAACUGUUUAUUAAAAACACAGCACUGUGCAAACACGAAAGUGGACGUAUACGGUGUGACGCCUGCCCGGUGCCGGAAGGUUAAUUGAUGGGGUUAUCCGUAAGGAGAAGCUCUUGAUCGAAGCCCCGGUAAACGGCGGCCGUAACUAUAACGGUCCUAAGGUAGCGAAAUUCCUUGUCGGGUAAGUUCCGACCUGCACGAAUGGCGUAAUGAUGGCCAGGCUGUCUCCACCCGAGACUCAGUGAAAUUGAACUCGCUGUGAAGAUGCAGUGUACCCGCGGCAAGACGGAAAGACCCCGUGAACCUUUACUAUAGCUUGACACUGAACAUUGAGCCUUGAUGUGUAGGAUAGGUGGGAGGCUUUGAAGCGUGGACGCCAGUCUGCGUGGAGCCAACCUUGAAAUACCACCCUUUAAUGUUUGAUGUUCUAACGUUGGCCCCUUACCGGGGUUGCGGACAGUGUCUGGUGGGUAGUUUGACUGGGGCGGUCUCCUCCCAAAGCGUAACGGAGGAGCACGAAGGUUAGCUAAUCCUGGUCGGACAUCAGGAGGUUAGUGCAAUGGCAUAAGCUAGCUUGACUGCGAGCGUGACGGCGCGAGCAGGUGCGAAAGCAGGUCAUAGUGAUCCGGUGGUUCUGAAUGGAAGGGCCAUCGCUCAACGGAUAAAAGGUACUCCGGGGAUAACAGGCUGAUACCGCCCAAGAGUUCAUAUCGACGGCGGUGUUUGGCACCUCGAUGUCGGCUCAUCACAUCCUGGGGCUGAAGUAGGUCCCAAGGGUAUGGCUGUUCGCCAUUUAAAGUGGUACGCGAGCUGGGUUUAGAACGUCGUGAGACAGUUCGGUCCCUAUCUGCCGUGGGCGCUGGAGAAUUGAGGGGGGCUGCUCCUAGUACGAGAGGACCGGAGUGGACGCAUCACUGGUGUUCGGGUUGUCAUGCCAAUGGCACUGCCCGGUAGCUAAAUGCGGAAGAGAUAAGUGCUGAAAGCAUCUAAGCACGAAACUUGCCCCGAGAUGAGUUCUCCCUGAGACUUUAAGUCUCCUGAAGGAACGUUAAAGACGAUGACGUUGAUAGGCCGGGUGUGUAAGCGCAGCGAUGCGUUGAGCUAACCGGUACUAAUGAACCGUGAGGCUUAACCUUACAACGCCGAAG
rnacentral:rRNA from 1 species